AAAAUGUGCACAUCUCACGCAAAUAGCUACUGAGAUUGUUGCAACUCUGCAGGUAUCUCUCCUUAUCUUCAUUUUCUGAGUGUUCAGAGCUCACUGUCCACCACUCAAAUGGCUCUGACCAUAACCAAUGAUGGUGCCACGAGAAACUACACCAAUGGAGAUAGAGAUGGAGAAGAAAGAGAUGGCUUGUAAAGCUUCAACUCCCAUAUCAAUUUAGAGGCCUUCUUCCUCCACCUGAUCUUCGCCCUAGGGCUAGUCCUAGCUUUCUGUAUUGCUCGUUAUAUCUACUCCACCGAUCUCAUCUCUAAUCCUUCUCGCACUCCCUUCUUGAUUUUGGUCGUUGAAUGUUCGAUUGUGAUUCUUCUAUACAGUCGGUAUCGUUCGGACCGACAGCAUUGCUCGGUAUACUUGACUCUUAUAGAUUAUUUCAUUUUAGUCUGUUUGUUCAUAAUAAAAUGUAUCGAGUGUUUUGAAACAAGAUAACGGAUUACUGAUAACUCUUCAGGUCGUUGAAUGUCCUUAUUCUUUCUAACUUUACCUGAUUAUGAUUUAAAGCUUGGGUCUGGAGGCUCCCAGUUAAUGUUAUUAUUGUUGUUGUUUUCUUAAAUCGAUUGUUUUUACGUGGAAAUAAUUCGUGUUAUUUGAAGAGAAGGGAAGGGAAGAGAAGUGAAAUAAGCUUGUUUUCGAGCGGCAUUGAUGGAAGCUAAAUCUUUUGAUGCUUGUCUUUCAUCGAAGCAAAUUUAUCCAAAUUAUAAAAUAUUUUGUUUCUCAUUAGUGAUCGCCCCCUCCCAUCCCUGCUUAGAUUAUGACUUAUCUUCUUCAUGUUAGGUGGGUUUUAUAUGUACAUGAAGAUUAUCAGAGAAUAUGCCUUUCAACCUUUAGAAAUAUUAACUUUCCAUUGAUAUUAGAGAACUUAUAAGCUAUCACUUCCUAAAGAAUGCAACAAAAAUAGCAAAGAGAACUUUUCCAGGUUGCAUUUAUGCUGCUAAGAAAAAAAAAAGAAGACCUGUCUGAAUAACAAGCUAGUGUAGAUAUUGAACAGGGACCGAGAGAAUCUGUUCUUAAUUUCUUUGCAUCUAUGGGAUUCACCUGUCCCAAGAGAAAGAAUGUUGCAGACUUCUUGCAAGAAGUAAGCAAGCAAUGUAGAGUUUGAACAGAAAAGAGGCGUAAAGAGGCGUGGGCUUCUUAAGACCAGCUUUUCAUUGCUAAAGUUGUUGAUGAAACGAAACUGAUUUAUCUACAUUUUAAAAUUUGUUCAGGUAGUAAAGCAGUUCUCUAUCAUUUUUUGUUUUACCUUUAUAUAUUUUACGCCUUAUUUGGAGAUUGAAAUAAAUCCACUUGUUAAUGUUGUGUCUGUGAUAGAUAUAACUUAUGCGACCAUUAUCAAACCAGCAAUUGAAGGAUGCCAUAUUUUUCUGUAAUGUUGUCCUCAUCGUUUCUAAUAUGUAGUUACUAUUGGUUACGAUGAUUACAAUGAGUGUCUUUUUUCGGACAACAAUGAAUCAUGACACAAUUGAUGACAGAGGACUUUAUCUUGGGGCACUCUACUUUUCCACUGCUAUCAUCCUUUUUAAUGGAUUUACAGAGGUGUCAAUGCUGGUGCCAAAACUUCCUGUAACUUACAAGCACAGGGAUUUGCACUUGUAGAAUGUCAUAACUUUGUUUCUGAUAUGCUUAUUCUGAUAGAAUUUCAAUCUCAAAGUUCUUAAUUGUUUCUGAUUAGUAUAGAAUGUUUAAUCUGUUUUUAGCUGAUCUUGGUGGAUGGACCCGGAUUGUUGUGGAGAAACCUUUUCACAAGGACUUGGCAUCUGCGGAGAAGUUAAGUUCCCAAAUUGGAGAAUUUUUUAAAGUUGUGUACUAAUGCUUGUUUUUUCUUUUGCCCCUGCAUUUUUUUCCUUGUAGAUCGUGUUCAAGGAGGAUUUUGGUACUGCGGGGCAUGGUGGAUAUUUUGAUAAAUAUGGGUAUGAUCUUUGUCCUUUGAUUUACCCUACUAAGCAUAUGAAAACUUUAUGUGUGAAGCUAAAUCUCUAAAUAUUUUGAUAUUUUAUGUUGUUGAAUAUAUAAAAAUUUGGGGCAUGGAAGUGAUUUAGGAAGGGCUGUUCAAGCUACUGGCUUUUCCAAACGACUGCUAUUCAAGUAUAUGUAUCUAUCGUUUUUGUUAUUCAAUUUUAUUAUCUUUUUUUUUUCAAGUUUAUAUAUAAAGUAAACACCUGCUUUUAUAUAGGAGCAUUAGUUUCUUCCAAAAUUUUAAUGUACUUGCAAUGGUAUAUUAUUUCAUUGAUGUAGGUGCUUAAAGCGAUGAGUUCAAGGUGGCCCACGUUAUUCUUGUGGAGGAAGGGGCAUAGUGAGUGAGAUUUGGCUAGGAUUACUUUAUACAGGAUUGAUAUAUGUAUAAUCUUUUUAAUUGUUCUUAGAGGAGAUAGGGGUUGUUGAUUGUACAAUACUUUAUGAGGUUGUAAUAUUGACAAUGUUAAAGAAGUGAAAUUUUUUUAAAGAAAUAUUGGUGGAAAUUUGGUAGA